rnacentral:misc_RNA from 1 species
UUUAAGUCGGUUUUGUCCCCGUUGUUGCCGCCCUUGUCCACCAUUCCUAGCAGAGGGGCCCAUGUUUCCCCUUUGAUUUCUCGCAUAAGGAGUUUGAUUCCAGCCUCUCAUAUUAGACGGCCCCCCUCUUUCAUAACCCUGAAAUUUUCCUGCAGAAUCUUUAGAGCCAAGAUGACAAAGAUCAGGAACAAUGUUCACCGG